AAAAAAAAAAAAAAAAAAAAUCGGUGUCUUCUCUAGUUCUAGAUCUAUGUGAUACUCUUCAUGGGCGAUUCACAAGAACUUACAUAAUGACGAUCUACGAUUUACAAUCAGAUGUAACGAUGAAAACGAGAAGGUUUAAAACUACUAAUAAAUGGUGGAGUCCGGUUGAAAAUUCCUAAAAAAGUUAAGAGUCUUUCAAACCCUAUCUUAUUGAUAACAAUUUUUACUUCUUUAUAUAUUUCAGAAAACAUAAAAUGCUCUAUUUGUUGUGCAGGUAAAUCCGGAACUGAACUUGCUUUCCAGCAAUAAGGAAUUUGUAGCAUUGUACGCAUACACUGAAUAAGGUAAGUACGGCAAGGCAAGAUUCUUGCAGUGGACACCUUCGUCCAUAAGAGGUGGGCAAAUUGGUGAUGUUUCUAAGUACAUCACUGGCGUCGUUAUGAGAUAUUGACGUGACCGUUGACUAUGGAGUUUCUCCUGAACAAAAACGUAGUACAUUGUGUUAGCCAUGGCUUAAAUGAAUCUGAAGAGAGUUUACUUAAAGUCAAGUGAAUGGAUCCUGUUUCAAAAUUUUCAGUGAUGUAAUUUUCAUCUUGGAUCGUUUGAUUAUUGGUAAGAUUUGUGAAGACUCUGUUGAAAGCUGACGUAAGAGAUUCAUUGCGCAUAUUGAUGUCACAUUAUGCCAAGGAGUUUGGCUUUUUGGUUAUGUUGGAGGAGAUAUAGCUAAUCUGUUGAAGUUCUGACUGGCUAAGAUGUUGGAGUUCUGACUCGCUAAUUUCCAAACUCAACCAUAAUCUGGAACCUUGGGAUUGCCUCACGAAAUGCUAGUGACAGACCAUCAGCAGGCAGCCUCAUCGACUUCAGGCCAGGCUGGAUUGAGGUGAAGUUGUGAAGCGUCAAAAGAGUUAGCAACAGUCUUUAUCCCUGUUUUGAUUUUGGCAAACCUGAGGACGCAAACAACAAUGUCACCGUUAGCAUCAUUGAUGGCUCUAUAAACUUGCUCAGCGAAUCCACCCCACAAGGUACAUGCCAUUCUCUCAUCACUAUUACAUAUCACUUGUUAAACAAUUUACAAUAAUGAUAGAAACAAAAAUAACAAAAUUACUGAAAAUAUUGAUAAAAUCUAACUUCUCAUCUCGCAACUCAAAUUCGAGUUUCUGAUUUGGUUUGUUGUUAACUUCAAGGGGCUCUAUCUCACCAAUGUUUACAACUUGUCCAACCACAUCUAAACGUGGAUUUAAGAAAAGUAAUUAGAAUUUUUUUUGCAACUGUGUUGCUUGAAACACAAUGUAAUAAAAAGUGAUAAAUCAUGUAUAUAGUACUAACCAAUCAACAUGUUGGGAUUCAGUUCACCACUGAGAAUCUUCUGAAACUUGGCCAAGCUUAAGAAGUUGGAAUCCGGUUUUGGAUCACUUCUCGUAACCAUAGUCCCGUUUACAAAAUUCAUCUUGUAAAGAUGAUUUAUGGGACGAAAUUGUCCAUUCGCAUGUGUUAAAGAAAAAGUCUAUGAAUUUCCACUCACCAACAGCUAGGUGGUUCACGUAACGUGUAACCAAGUCUUUUUUGACUGAGGCAUGGAUUUUCAUUCCCUGAAAUGAUUAAAAUAGAGAAUCAUAAGAUGCAUGCCAUACAUAAAAUGUAUACUACAUAAAUUACUUACAGUUUCAUCAGCCAUAAUUAAUUCUAGGGGUUCUCCAGUACGCCACUUAUGCAGGACCUUAACUUGAACUCUCCAUGCUGUCUUGUACGGACGGAUAUCUCGCAUUAAUGCAAAUGAUGCAGCCAUUUCUCUCGAUUAGUGGUUGGAUAUGCAGGAUGUAGGUUUUAACUGUGAGUGUUGGUAUGUUAUUGUUCGUGAAUAUAGUAUUUAUAGAUUCCAAUAUGCUUGAUGACCAAGGCUAUUGUAAUCGUUGUAUUAAUUCAAAGCGAGAUUACAAUAAUCUCUGUGUUAUUAAGACAGUGAUUUUGCCCUUCAACAUUAGUUUCCAAAUAAUCUAUAUAGAGAAUUAAAAGUUUGGCUU